CAGCCGCCGCGGUAAUACGAAGGGGGCUAGCGUUGUUCGGAAUCACUGGGCGUAAAGCGCACGUAGGCGGAUUUUUAAGUCAGGGGUGAAAUCCCGAGGCUCAACCUCGGAACUGCCUUUGAUACUGGAGAUCUUGAGUUCGGAAGAGGUUGGUGGAACAGCUAGUGUAGAGGUGAAAUUCGUAGAUAUUAGCUAGAACACCAGUGGCGAAGGCGGCCAACUGGUCCGACACUGACGCUGAGGUGCGAAAGCGUGGGGAGCAAACAGGAUUAGAUACCCCAGUAGUCCCUGUCUCUUAUAC
rnacentral:rRNA from 1 species